rnacentral:rRNA from 1 species
GAUGAACGCUGGCGGCGUGCCUAAUACAUGCAAGUCGAGCGAACGGACGAGGAGCUUGCUCUUCUGACGUUAGCGGCGGACGGGUGAGUAACACGUGGAUAACCUACCUAUAAGACUGGGAUAACUUCGGGAAACCGGAGCUAAUACCGGAUAAUAUUUUGAACCGCAUGGUUCAAUAGUGAAAGACGGUCUUGCUGUCACUUAUAGAUGGAUCCGCGCUGCAUUAGCUAGUUGGUAAGGUAACGGCUUACCAAGGCAACGAUGCAUAGCCGACCUGAGAGGGUGUUCUGCCACACUGGAACUCUGACACGGUCCAGACUCCUACGGGAGGCAGCAGUAGAGAAUCUUCCGCAAUGGGCGCAAGCCUGACGGAGCAACGCCGCGUGAGUGAUAAAGGUCUUCGGAUCGUAAAACUCUGUGAUUAGGGAAAAACAUAUAUGUAAGUAACUGUGCACAUCUUGACAGUACCUAAUCAGAAAGCCACGGCUAACUACGUG